GGAGUUGGUAGCUCAGUGGUAGAGUGCAUGCUUUGUAUGUAUGUAUAAUGUUCUGUGUUCAAUCCCCAGCUUCUCCC